AGCGCAUGCUGUGUACAGAGGGUGUCGAGAAUGCCUCCUACGUGACGGAAAGCAGAUCCGUGGUUCCCUGCAGACUGGCAGGAGCAGAUUCCAAAGGCACAGGAAGAAGCUUGCAGUACAAAGAUAAAAAUCUAAAGUGGUUGCUGUGGAGGACAGGGGUCAGUGGUGGAAGUGAGACCGAAAUAGACUCUGAAGUAAUAUCUGGACUUUGAAAUUGUUUCCUUAAUGACAACAAAAAAGGGAGUAAUCCUACCCACUGUAAGAGUCAUGACUCUUGAUUGCAGCUGACAGAAACUCAUGACAGCCUGCUUUAGAUGAAGGGGGAGAGAAGGACUGGAAGAAUCUUGGAGUUGGGAAUGUCACACGUAAUUGAAGGAAGAACAAGAAAACUAUAAUUCUUCCCCUGGAGGCUGGAGUUUCCAGGAUGUCAAAAUUACCUCUGCUUGGGUGAGCUAUUUCAAGCAGCUGGGAUACCUGUGUCACUCCUGCUGUCUGCCAGUGACUGCCCAGGCAGCUGCUCCCAACCCCAGAACCUUUGCUGUCUUGGGACGGAUCACCGCUGCAAGAGGGGAAGUUGCUACUGUGAUGAAUUCUGCCAUGUGGCACCAGACUGCCACCCAGACCACAGUGUCCUCUGCAACCCUGGUAACUCACAUACAGGCCCGAUUCCACCUACAGCAAAGCUGGAUGCGAUGGCUGGCAGAGGCAAACCCUUUGCCUGCACUUCAGGCCAAAGCCGGGAUGUGGCCUAGAUGGUUCCUAAGGUCCCUGACAAUCCUGAGAUCUUGCAUCUUGUCUAUUUCAGGUCAAAGGUGCCUACAUGCUCCUUCUAGCUUUGUUUCCCUGAUGUUCCUUGCCACCUGCUACUCCUCUCUGAGCUACUUUUCCAGGUUCCACAGGGAGAGGUUCAGCUGUCCGUGGUAGACAUGAGGGUAGAGAAUGAGGUGGUUGGGUUCCACUUACCUUUCUAUCAUCUUGCAGUAUGGAUGUCUCUUGACUGGUACCGUGUAGACUUUUGAGGGCACACAGGAGUCUGCAGAGAGAUACUGGGGACAUUGAGCAGCAGCAGUGGGGUUGGGAGGCAGAAAUGAGGACAGGAACAUUUACCUUGUGUUUCUCUCAGCUUCUCAGAUGACCAAGAUGGUGCUGCAGAUGGUGCUGAGGAUGGAGAACCCACCAAGCCC
rnacentral:lncRNA from 10 species